rnacentral:rRNA from 1 species
AUUGAACGCUGGCGGCAUGCCUUACACAUGCAAGUCGAACGGUAACAGGUCUUCGGAUGCUGACGAGUGGCGAACGGGUGAGUAAUACAUCGGAACGUGCCCGAUCGUGGGGGAUAACGCAGCGAAAGCUGUGCUAAUACCGCAUACGAUCUACGGAUGAAAGCGGGGGAUCGCAAGACCUCGCGCGGACGGAGCGGCCGAUGGCAGAUUAGGUAGUUGGUGGGAUAAAAGCUUACCAAGCCGACGAUCUGUAGCUGGUCCGAGAGGACGACCAGCCACACUGGGACUGAGACACGGCCCAGACUCCUACGGGAGGCAGCAGUGGGGAAUUUUGGACAAUGGGGGAAACCCUGAUCCAGCCAUGCCGCGUGCAGGAUGAAGGCCUUCGGGUUGUAAACUGCUUUUGUACGGAACGAAAAGGUCCUUUCUAAUAAAGAGGGCUCAUGACGGUACCGUAAGAAUAAGCACCGGCUAACUACGUG